rnacentral:rRNA from 1 species
GAUGAACGCUGGCGGCGUGCCUAAUACAUGCAAGUCGAGCGAACAGACGAGGAGCUUGCUCCUCUGACGUUAGCGGCGGACGGGUGAGUAACACGUGGAUAACCUACCUAUAAGACUGGGAUAACUUCGGGAAACCGGAGCUAAUACCGGAUAAUAUAUUGAACUGCAUGGUUCAAUAGUGAAAGACGGUUUUGCUGUCACUUAUAGAUGGAUCCGCGCCGCAUUAGCUAGUUGGUAAGGUAACGGCUUACCAAGGCAACGAUGCGUAGCCGACCUGAGAGGGUGAUCGGCCACACUGGAACUGAGACACGGUCCAGACUCCUACGGGAGGCAGCAGUAGAGAAUCUUCCGCAAUGGACGAAGGCCUGGCGGAGCAACGCCGCGUGGGUGAUGAAGGUCUUCGGAUCGUAAAACUCUGUUAUUAGGGAAGAACAAAUGUGUAAGUAACUAUGCACGUCUUGACGGUACCUAAUCAGAAAGCCACGGCUAACUACGUG